rnacentral:rRNA from 1 species
GACAGAGGUCCCGAGCGUUGUUCGGAUUCAUUGGGCGUAAAGCGCGUGUAGGCGGCUUAGCAAGUCGGGCGUGAAAGCCCUCGGCUCAACCGAGGAAGUGCACCCGAAACUGCUGAGCUUGAGUGCCGGAGAGGAUGGCGGAAUUCCCCAAGUAGAGGUGAAAUUCGUAGAUAUGGGGAGGAACACCGGUGGCGAAGGCGGCCAUCUGGACGGUAACUGACGCUGAGACGCGAAAGCGUGGGUAGCAAACAGG